UUCAGACUUCCAUUAGAAGCAGUGAUGGGGCUGCUUUUCAUUUUUCUCCUCAAUACAGGGAAACGUGUCACCAUUACUGUCUGUGGUAAUCUCUCUCUCACUAUUUUGAUUUUAACAUAUAGAUUAUGUUUAAAAAAAUGGAGUACUAUAUGUAUUUAAAUAUUUUGAACAGCACAAUACUGAAACUUCUUCCAUCGUAUUUUAGAUGACACUUUUCGAAGGUAAUACUGAUGUUAUUUGAGCUUGACAGUUAACUGCAGGUCAAUAUUUCAUCAGAUCAUUUUGCUCAACCUAAAGGCAGAGCUACACACAGCUGUACCUUCAGUCGACUUGGAAUGGGCGGAGUUAGAGUCGCACACUGAUUACAUCACAGGGUAGUGACUGGUUCAUAAAGAUGGACACUGAUCCAGGAACAUGUCCUACUUUUGGAAAUAAAACAACACUGUGUGUGUGUGUAUCUACAUGUAUGUGUUCCUUGACUGCCAUCCUGUGUUCAGGAGGAGAAGUGCAUCCAAUAUAACCCUUUAAGUGCUGUGAGUCCAACCCAAUUUUUGUACACUUUCUGAAAGUGUGCGUGUUUAUUUAUAUACAUUUUCUCUCCCCCUCUAUAAGCAGUCCAUAGAAUUAUCUGGCACGAGUCCGAGAGCCAGGGCUUUUCCUGGAGGACAGCUGGGCAGGAACACAGUGUUGGGGGCGGGGUCUACGUUCUCAGAGUCCUCUGAUUUGUCCACGAUUGUCUCCCAGUUGAUGUGGAAUCGUGUCACACGUGGGUUCGAUGCCAAGAUGUUCCUUUGCAGCUGAGGAUUGCCAUGAGGGGAAAGAGGAACAGGGCCGACCAGCACCGAGUCCAGCGUCUGAUCGUACUCCUCACUCUCCGCAGAGCCCACAUAGAUGAUCUUCCACUCCAGAUCUGCCCCAGGAGAAAGAGAGGAGAUCAUCACCACCACCACCACCACUCAACACUCCGAUCCAAUUGUUCAGCACUCAUUCAACAUGUGACCACGAUUCACAGGUGUUGAGCAGUAAUGGGUGUGAGUGUGAGCUUUACCCUCAGGCAGAUCCUCCAUGCACUCGAACGUGAUCUCGAACUGGAAGGGGUUACAGAAGGGGCUCGGGUUGUCCAGAACCGCCACAUUCAGCACCUGGACCUUCGCCAUCAUCCCCAGCGCGCGCGCAGCUCACUCCGGCACCAUGCACUGAACCCCGGGGUUCAGAUCCGACAACCUCCUGUGAGCAGCUCUCUCUCUCUCUCUCUCUCUCCACCUUCCACACUGCAAACUUCAGCCAAACACACAACCCGCCCCGAAUCACCACCAGCCAGGUUUCCCCACUGCACAGAGCCUUUAACACAUCACUCCCUCCCUCACACAGACCCGGGCGCCUUCACAGCCAUCUUUAUUUAUCAUUAAACUAAAAGCGGCUCAAGGUUUUAAAGUGAAUAAACAACAGCAAAGCCGCUCAGUGCUCAAAUCCCGAAUACAUGUCUGAUCACUACACUAACUCCUUCACUAGUGUGCGAAACAAGAGGAUUCCGCGCCCUAUAUAGUGCACUACGUGUUCAAUAGUGAUGUGUUUGGGAUUCAACCAAACUUCUUCCUCGCCAGUCAAACAGACCGGUGAAAACUCAAGAGGAAAUCUUUCUACUGCCACCACCUGGGCAGAGUCGGUAUUGCACUUCAAUUUCUUUCUUUCUUUCUUUCUUCAUUGAGUUUCAUAAACGGUGCAGUAUCAAACAAAACAAAACAGAACUGAACAAGGCGUGACAUUAUUAUCAAAUAAAUUGACUACAGUGCAAAAAAGGCAAUUAAAAACAUUUAAUAUUGACCAAAUGGCAUCGUUAAUCACAUUAAGAUAUAUGUACAGUGGUGCUUGAAAGUAGAGCCCUGCACUCCCGCGGGACCCGCCGCAAAGCAGUGCGGCGCGGGACAAAUUUUGAAAGCUCAUUGCGGGCGCGGGCGG